CCCAAGCCAACAGCCAGCAAAGCCACCGCCUGGCAGGCGCCACGAAGACCCUGGCCACUAAAGCCGCCAGCAAAAGGGCACUGCCUACAGGAGGGAUCAAGAAGCCUCACCGCUACAGGCCUGGCAAUGUGCGAAAUCAGAAAGUACCAGAAGUCCACGCAGCUGUUACUCCUCAAGCUGCCCUUCCAGCGCCUGGUGCGCAAGAUCUCCUAGGCCAUCAUCCUGGUCCUGCGCUUCCAGAGCGCUACCAUUGGAGCCCUGCAGGAGCCCAGUGAGGCUUACCUGGUGCACCUCUUUGAAGUCACCUAGCUGUGUACCAUC
rnacentral:lncRNA from 1 species